UGGGGAAUAUUGGACAAUGGGCGCAAGCCUGAUCCAGCCAUGCCGCGUGAGUGAUGAAGGCCCUAGGGUUGUAAAGCUCUUUCACCGGUGAAGAUAAUGACGGUAAUCGGAGAAGAAGCCCCGGCUAACUUCGUGCCAGCAGCCGCGGUAAUACGAAGGGGGCUAGCGUUGUUCGGAUUUACUGGGCGUAAAGCGCACGUAGGCGGACUAUUAAGUCAGGGGUGAAAUCCCGGGGCUCAACCCCGGAACUGCCUUUGAUACUGGGAGUCUUGAGUUCGAGAGAGGUGAGUGGAAUUCCGGGUGUAGAGGUGAAAUUCGUAGAUAUUCGGAGGAAGACCAGUGGCGAAGGCGGCUCACUGGCUCGAUACUGACGCUGAGGUGCGAAAGCGUGGGGAGCAAACGGG
rnacentral:rRNA from 1 species